GAUGAACGCUAGCGGCAGGCUUAACACAUGCAAGUCGAGGGGUAUAGGUUUUCGGAUCUAGAGACCGGCGCACGGGUGCGUAACGCGUAUGCAAUCUACCUUUCACAGAGGGAUAGCCCAGAGAAAUUUGGAUUAAUACCUCAUAGUAUUAUAGAAUGGCAUCAUUUUAUAAUUAAAGUCACAACGGUGAAAGAUGAGCAUGCGUCCCAUUAGCUAGUUGGUAUGGUAACGGCAUACCAAGGCAACGAUGGGUAGGGGUCCUGAGAGGGAGAUCCCCCACACUGGUACUGAGACACGGACCAGACUCCUACGGGAGGCAGCAGUGAGGAAUAUUGGUCAAUGGGCGCAAGCCUGAACCAGCCAUGCCGCGUGCAGGAUGACGGUCCUAUGGAUUGUAAACUGCUUUUGCACAGGAAAAAACAACGCUACGUGUAGCGUCUUGACGGUACUGUGAGAAUAAGGAUCGGCUAACUCCGUG
rnacentral:rRNA from 1 species